GCUUGUCUCAAAGAUUAAGCCAUGCAUGUCUAAGUAUAAGUAUUAUACAGCGAAACUGCGAAUGGCUCAUUAAAACAGUUAUAGUUUACAUGAUAAUCGAAUUUACAUGGAUAACCGUAGUAAUUCUAGAGCUAAUACGUGCGUAAAUCCCGACUUCUGGAAGGGACGUAUUUAUUAGAUAAAAGGCCGACCGGGCUCUGCCCGACUCGCGGUGAAUCAUGAUAACUUCACGAAUCGCACGGCCUCGUGCCGGCGAUGUUUCAUUCAAAUUUCUGCCCUAUCAACUUUUGAUGGUAGGAUAGAGGCCUACCAUGGUGGUAACGGGUGACGGAGGAUUAGGGUUCGAUUCCGGAGAGGGAGCCUGAGAAACGGCUACCACAUCCAAGGAAGGCAGCAGG
rnacentral:rRNA from 1 species